rnacentral:lncRNA from 1 species
CUAUCUAGACAAUAUAAUUACAUCAAAAAUGUUCGAGUACACAUUUCAUGUCGAGGCAUAGAAGAACCUACAUGUCUGGGAGAUGGCUAUGACAAAUUCCAGGACAAGCAAGAGAAGCAUGUGCGCCAGUCCAAUCUAUUAAAGCCCAUCAUCUCCGUAACAUACAUCUAGAAAGUACAGGCAUUUGAUCUAUUUUUUUCUUUUUUUUGGGGGGGAGGGGGGGGGGCAGAUUAUAUCAGCCAAAUUCGUAAAGAUCUGUCAUCAAUACGUUAAAGAUGAUACUAAUAGGUAAUACUAAAUGCACUUGCUUUUCAAGAGCUUUUUUUAGAUAAGAAUUACAGGACAAUUUCACAUUCAGGGUAAUGUAAAAAGAGUAGAGAGCACGAGUGAUUGUAUUGAAGGAAUCUAUCCACAUCUGAUUGCAUGAACAGUGAAAGAAUGACAUGGUCUGUAUUUUGGAUGUUUGAAUAUGAGAUUUCUACAAGAAAAAAAGGGAUCAACAAAGAAAAUAGAGCCAUCAAUAUCUAUUCUAGCUGAGCAUAGAAACAAAAGGAACUUCAAAGUUCAGUUCUACCAAUAAGAUCCCAUACCGUUAAUAUUUCUAGAGGUGGUCGUUAAGAGAUGUUGGCUCGGGCACAGUUUGCUGCCUUUUUCAAGCUUUUAUAGUUUGGUUCCUAUUUGGAUGCUACAUUCUAUGAUCUAAAAUAGAUGAAGGGAAACCAAAAUCUUUUAACAGAAAUCACAGAAAUCUACCAAUAAGAUCCCAUACCGUUAAUAUUUCUAGAGGUGGUCGUUAAGAGAUGUUGGCUCGGGCACAGUUUGCUGCCUUUUUCAAGCUUUUAUAGUUUGGUUCCUAUUUGGAUGCUACAUUCUAUGAUCUAAAAUAGAUGAAGGGAAACCAAAAUCUUUUAACAGAAAUCACAGAAAUUUAUGAAAACUGAAGACUUCGUGGGAAUCUAAAUGCAGAUUGCACCUAAACUCUGAACGUUGGAGCACACAGAAGUCAGAAAGUCCAUGAUGCUUCACUCAAUCAACUCUAUGUUUGUCAUACCCAUCAUAAAUUCUUCCAGUUCAUUCCUUUUACAUGAAUCAAAGCAUUGACAAAAAGAUGUCAUAUUCAACUCUUUCUGAACCAAACACCACCAUCCGAUGGGAUCACUUGAGAAAUGCAAUAAAUCAUGACUAACAACGAGGCUUGAAUUUCAC